rnacentral:rRNA from 1 species
GAUGAACGCUAGCUACAGGCUUAACACAUGCAAGUCGAGGGGAAACGAUAUUGGAAGCUUGCUUCCGAUAGGCGUCGACCGGCGCACGGGUGAGUAACGCGUAUCCAACCCGCCCAUCACUUGGGGAUAACCUUGCGAAAGUAAGACUAAUACCCAAUGACGUCUCUAGAAGACAUCUGAAAGAGAUUAAAGAUUUAUCGGUGAUGGAUGGGGAUGCGUCUGAUUAGCUUGUUGGCGGGGUAACGGCCCACCAAGGCGACGAUCAGUAGGGGUUCUGAGAGGAAGGUCCCCCCACAUUGGAACUGAGACACGGUCCAAACUCCUACGGGGAGCAGCAGUGAGGAAUAGUUGGUACAAGUGGACGAGAGUCUAGAACCAGACCAAGUAGCGUGC